GCACCUAUUUUCUAUGUUUCUAUUGUUCUACCUACUGGCACGAAAUGCAGCAUGUCAGCUAACGUCUGUGGUUUGUUUACAUGGCUGAACGUGCUUAUUCA